rnacentral:rRNA from 1 species
AUUGAACGCUGGCGGCAGGCCUAACACAUGCAAGUCGAACGGUAGCACAGAGAGCUUGCUCUCGGGUGACGAGUGGCGGACGGGUGAGUAAUGUCUGGGAAACUGCCCGAUGGAGGGGGAUAACUACUGGAAGCGGUAGCUAAUACCGCAUAACGUCGCAAGACCAAAGUGGGGGACCUUCGGGCCUCACACCAUCGGAUGUGCCCAGAUGGGAUUAGCUAGUAGGUGGGGUAAUGGCUCACCUAGGCGACGAUCCCUAGCUGGUCUGAGAGGAUGACCAGCCACACUGGAACUGAGACACGGUCCAGACCCCUACGGGAGGCAGCAGUGGGGAAUAUUGCACAAUGGGCGCAAGCCUGAUGCAGCCAUGCCGCGCGUAUGAAGAAGGCCUUCGGGUUGUAAAGUACUUUCAGCGGGGAGGAAGGCGGUGGAGUUAAUAACUUCACCGAUUGACGUUACCCGCAGAAGAAGCACCGGCUAACUCCGUGCCAGCCGCCGCCGUAA